AUUGAACGCUGGCGGCAGGCCUAACACAUGCAAGUCGAGCGAGCGGCGGAAGGGUGAGUAAUGUAUGGGGACUGCACGAUAGAGGGGGAUAACUACUGGACACGGUGGCUAAUACCGCAUACUAUCGGAUAACCCAUAUGGGAUUAGCUAGUAGGUGGGGUAAAGGCUCACCAAGGCGACGAUCUCUAGCUGGUCUGAGCGGAUGAUCAGCCACACUGGGACUGAGACACGGCCCAGACUCCGACGGAGGCAGCAGUGGGGAAUAUUGCACAAUGGGCGCAAGCCUGAUACAGCCAUGCCGCGUGUAUGAAGAAGGUCUUAGGGUUGUAAAGUACUUUCAGCGGGGAGGCGUUACCCGCAGAAGAAGCACCGGCUAACUCCGUGCCAGCAGCCGCGGUAAUUC
rnacentral:rRNA from 1 species